GACGAACGCUGGCGGCGUGCCUAACACAUGCAAGUCGAGCGGGGACAUUGGAGCUUCGGUUCUGAUGUUCUAGCGGCGGACGGGUGAGUAACGCGUGAGCAAUCUGUCCCAUACAGGGGGAUAACAGCUGGAAACAGCUGCUAAUACCGCAUGAGACCACAACGUCACAUGACGAAGGGGUCAAAGGAGCAAUCCGGUAUGGGGUGAGCUCGCGUCCCAUUAGGUAGUUGGUGAGGUAACGGCCCACCAAGCCGACGAUGGGUAGCCGACCUGAGAGGGUGAUCGGCCACACUGGAACUGAGACACGGUCCAGACUCCUACGGGAGCAGCAGUGAGGAAUAUUGGUCAAUGGGCGAGAGCCUGAACCAGCCAAGUAGCGUGAAGGAUGACUGCCCU
rnacentral:rRNA from 1 species